rnacentral:rRNA from 1 species
CCUACGGGAGGCUGCAGUGAGGAAUAUUGGUCAAUGGCCGAGAGGCUGAACCAGCCAAGUCGCGUGAGGGAAGACGGCCCUACGGGUUGUAAACCUCUUUUGUCGGGGAGCAAAGCGAACCACGUGUGGUUCAUUGCGAGUACCCGAAGAAAAAGCAUCGGCUAACUCCGUGCCAGCAGCCGCGGUAAUACGGAGGAUGCGAGCGUUAUCCGGAUUUAUUGGGUUUAAAGGGUGCGCAGGCGGCGGUGAAAGUCAGUGGUAAAAUUGCGGGGCUCAACCCCGUACUGCCGGGGAAACUGCAGGCCUUGAGUGCGCGAGAAGUAUGCGGAAUGCGUGGUGUAGCGGUGAAAUGCAUAGAUAUCACGCAGAACUCCGAUUGCGAAGGCAGCAUACCGGCGCGUAACUGACGCUCAUGCACGAAAGCGUGGGUAUCGAACAGGAUUAGAUACCCGAGUAGUC